CUUUGCCGAACUGUACCUUGAGUCCCAAGGCGAAAGGAG
rnacentral:ncRNA from 1 species